GGGGAAUAUUGGACAAUGGGCGCAAGCCUGAUCCAGCAAUGCCGCGUGUGUGAAGAAGGCCUGAGGGUUGUAAAGCACUUUCAGUGGGGAGAAAGAGGCCAUUGCUAAUAUCAAUGGCGGAUGAUGUUACCCACAGAAGAAGCACCGGCUAACUCUGUGCCAGCAGCCGCGGUAAUACGGAGGGUGCGAGCGUUGUCCGGAAUCACUGGGCGUAAAGGGCGCGUAGGUGGCCGAGCAAGGUCGCGGUGAAAGCCCGGGGCUCAACCCCGGGUCGGCCGUGGCAACUACUUGGCUCGAGCACUGUAGGGGCGGGUGGAAUUCCGGGUGUAGCGGUGGAAUGCGUAGAGAUCCGGAAGAACACCGGUGGCGAAGGCGGUUAGCUGGGCAGUUGCUGACACUGAGGCGCGACAGCGUGGGGAGCAAAC
rnacentral:rRNA from 1 species